CUCGGAUGAGGUCGGCCCAUCUUUGGCUCGACUUGCACUUGAGCAAGGAGCUUAGGGAUCUCAUUUAGAGGUAUCCUAAGUGACCUAUGUCGGGCUUGGUCGACCUUAUGCUUGGACGAGGCCGGCCUGACUUUUGCUCAACUAACGCUGGAGUGAGGAGCUUAAGGAUCCUGCUCGAGGGUAUCCUAAGUGACCUGGGUCAAGCUUUGGAAACAUCGUGCUUGGAUAUGACCGGUCCGUCUUCAACUUGACUCAACUCAUGC
rnacentral:lncRNA from 1 species